rnacentral:rRNA from 1 species
GAUGAACGCUGGCGGCGUGCUUAACACAUGCAAGUCGAACGGGAAGUCUCCUGCUUGCAGGGGUACUCGAGUGGCGAACGGGUGAGUAACACGUGGGUGAUCUGCCCUGCACUUCGGGAUAGGCCUGGGAAACUGGGGCUAAUACCGGAUAGGACCACAUUUUGGAUGGUGUGGUGGAAAGUUUUUCGGUGUGGGAUGAGCUCGCGGCCUAUCAGCUUGUUGGUGGGGUAAUGGCCUACCAAGGCGUCGACGGGUAGCCGGCCUGAGAGGGUGUACGGCCACAUUGGGACUGAGAGACGGACCAGACACACACGGGCGGGAGGAGGGGGGAAGAUUGAACAAUGGGCGGAAGCAUGAUGCAGCGACGCAGCGUGGGGGAUGAAGGAAUUCGGGUGGUAAACUCAUUUCGCUAGGGACGAAGCGCAAGUGACGGUACCGGGAGAAGAAGCACCGGCUAACUACGU